rnacentral:lncRNA from 1 species
CACAGUUCAAGAUAUUAUACAUUGGAAAUCUUAUCAAUUUGAAAAGAACGUUCAUUCAUUACGUCUACAAGGUAUUUUUUAACGAUCUUAUCUAAACUAUUACCUAAGUCUGGGGAAUACAAGUAGCCCAGAUCACCUAUCAUGAACUGUAUUUGUGAUAGGGGUGGCAACUCUGAAAAACAGAUAUCCAUUUUUAAAUUCUCGAAACAUG